rnacentral:rRNA from 1 species
UACGGGGGAGCAAGCGUUGUUCGGAUUUACUGGCGUAAAGGGCGCGUAGGCGGCCACCGCAAGUCGACUGUGAAAUCCCCGGGCUUAACCUGGGAAUGCAUUUGUGACUGCCCGGCUAGAGUGUGUCAGAGGGGGUAGGAAUUCCACGUGUAGCAGUGAAAUGCGUAGAGAUGUGGAGGAAUACCGAUGGCGAAGGCAGCCCCCUGGGAUAACACUGACGCUCAUGCACGAAAGCGUGGGGAGCAAACAGG